CUGAGAUUUGAGUCUCUGAUUCGAGUCUGUUAUUCGAGUGUGUGAUUCAAGUCUGUGAUUUGAGUCUGUUAUU